AUUGCACGCUUGCGGCAGGCCUAACACAUGCAAGUCGAGCGAGCGGCGGACGGGUGAGUAAGGUAAGGGGACUGCCCGAUAGAGGGGGAGAACUACUGGAACCGGUAGCUAAAACCGCAUACUAUCGGAAAACCCAAAUGGGAUUAGCUAGUAGGUGGGGUAAUGGCGCACAUAGGCGCCGAUCCCUAGCUGGCCUGAGAGGAUGAUCAACCACACUGGGCCUGAGAACCGGCCCAGACUCCUACGGAGGCAGCAUUGGGGAAUAUUGCACAAUGGGCGCAAGCCUGAUGCAGCCAUGCCGCGUGUAUGAAGAAGGCCCUAGGGUUGUAAAGUACUUUCAGUCGGGAGGCGUUACCGACAGAAGAAGCACCGGCUAACUCCGUGCCAGCCGCCGCGGUAAUUC
rnacentral:rRNA from 1 species